GGUCCUAUGGAAUAUGACAAAUAUCUUUGUAGCACUGUAGUACGAAUGGAACAUUGAACGUUUGUUGAUUAUGACUUCUGCUCAUUAAUGAUAUCACAAGCUGAUAAGAUAUAAACAAACUUUAUAGUUAUAAAGACUAGUAUUCUACAUGUCAUACACACUUAAAUUCUAAGCAUAAAUGUAUAUGUAUAAGUUAUACUUUUAUCUUUUAUUUCCAGUACAAUUAUGAUAGUUGAGUCUCAUUACAGUGUUAAUGAAAUUUUAAAAUGGCUUCUAUAACAUAAAUAAAAUAUUCAUAAGAGACUUCUACAACUGUUUAAAUAUUUUCACAAACUAUAUCUUAUCUUAAAAUUAAUAGCAACAAUAAGAAGCAAAACAAAGUGGAGCUAAUAUAUAUACGAGAAUUACGUUAAAUAGAAAUUUCACCUACAUGAUUAAAGAUCAUUAAAUCGCAUUAAAAGGCCAAUUAACGUCGCGUGAAUGAUUCGGAGAAUGAUUACUCCGUCGAACCAUGUUGUGAUAUAAACAGCUGAUGUAGAAUAAAUUUCAAACAAAUAUCAGCACCGAAAUAAAACGCCAGACAUGUUAAUGAUUUGCUGCAUGGCCAAAAUGGUUCUAACAACAGCGAGAUCUCACCUCGGGAUCAAACAGUUCGUUGCAUUUGGACACUUCCAGCUGUGAGUUAUGUGACUGUCGAAAGACCUCACGUUUUUCUUAACAUCUUAAAGUAGCGACGGGAAGCACACGACCAUCGUGUAACGUUCAUCGUGGUCCACUGACGCAAAAA